rnacentral:rRNA from 1 species
CCUACGGGGGGCAGCAGUGGGGGAUAUUGCACAAUGGGGGCAACCCUGAUGCAGCGACGCCGCGUGAGCGAUGGAGUACUUAGGUAGGUAAAGCUCUGUCAGCAGGGAAGAGAAUGACGGUACCUGACCAAGAAGCCCCGGCUAAAUACGUGCCAGCAGCAGCGGUCAUACGUAUGGGGAAAGCGUGAUCCGGAUUUACGGGGUGUAAAGGGAGCGUAGGCGGCAGGGCAAGCCUGAUGUGAACGCCGGGGGCUCAACCCCGGGACUGCAUUGGGAACUGCCCCGCUCGAGUGCCGGAGGGCCAGGCGGACUUCCUAGUGUAUCGGUGAAAUGCGUAGAUAUUAGGAGGAACACCAGUGGCGAAGGCGGCCUGCUGGACGGUGUACUGACGCUGAGGCUCGAAAGCGUGGGGAGCAAACAGGAUUAGAUACCCCGGUAGUC